AUGCAGCCUAGAUGUGACAACACGCUUACUUCUGUAUCAUGAUUCCCCAGGAAAAAAAAAAUUGCAAAAACUGACAGAAGAAAUUCUGUUUGAGCACCUGGGCUGAUUCUGAUUAUAAGGAGAGGAAGGGUACUUAUGUAAAAGGGGAGGAAGGGUACUAUGCACAGGACAAAAGUCACAUUUUCUUCUGAGGUUUCACACUGGCAAGGCAGUAAGGGCUAAAUCCUGCCAGUUGCUUCUUGCUGUGCUGUGAGUGAGGAGGAAAGAGCUGCUCCCCAGGCAGUACCAGGAGAUGCAGCCUGCUGGGGUGCCUCAGUGUGUGUCUGAAGGAAUGGGAUGCUCUCACACACAGCAGCCCCUGGUAGGGGAGGCCCUGCUUUGCCUCCAUGCAGAGAAACAAGAACUCCCCUGUGCUGGGUCCCACUGUGAAAUCCUGCUCAUCAGCACCAGGAUUCUCUCCAGGAAGGAUACAUCUGCCAACCUCACAGCUGCGGCUCGCCAAACAGCACACCAGCAUUUGGACUACAAUUUCUCUGUGGGGUUGGCAGAGCUCUGACAUCCGCCAGGACCUGAUCCAAAGCUCAUGGGAUUUAAUGGGGGAAAAAAAAGUCCAUUGAUCUUGGUGGCUUUGGAUCUGUCCUUUUGCUCGUCUCCUUUGAUGAUUUAUACAACACUGACAUGCAUAUUUCACUUCUGAAGCACACAGAGCACAUGGUUUUAAUCUCACCAUUUCCCUGGUGACAGGGAAGUAACUGUGUUGGCAGCUAAGACACUGAAAAACAUUCAUUAUUCUGUAUAUUAUUAUUACUUUUUACUUCCCCACAGAAGGUAGAAAUGACAAUAAAAAAAUCACAAAUAUUUUGUUUUACGAUCUUUGCUUGCCCUUAAAGGCACAGUCUUUAUUGUAAAGUUAAAAAAAAUUGUAAAGUGCAAAUUUUUGUGUGUGCGUAAAAAUGAUGAGAAUGUUUUGUAUUGAAGUGGGAGGUAAGAGAACAUCAAUAACUAAAAGCCACUGGAAAAUAAAUUUUUUAAAUGCCCCUCUUCCCUAGAAACAGAUUAGAGAGGGAAUCUUUCCAAAGUGCCAGGAAAUUCUCUUCUCAGGUUGGAAGGUAAGAACAUUUCAAUCUUGUGAAGUCUUUGUUUAUAGCAUCAAGAUUACUGGGCCACUGGCAGCAGUUCUCUAUCAGGUAUGCUGAUCUGCACCAAGUCCUACAGUAGCAGUGGCUACAAAACAAACUUAAAGUAAGUCACAGCUCAAGAUUCCUCAUGACCUCAAGAGCAGCUUUCUAGUGCAGCCAGGGCAGCUAUGUUUUCUGUCAGACCCAGUAUCCCAUGAAUUUCCCCAAGGGAUCCCCCCUCAGCACCCAAGUUCAUGGAGACAGAGCAGCUCCUGCCCACAGAACAGACCCACAAACUGCCAGGGAUUUUCAUAAAGCAGGAGGGAUGCUUUGCUAUAUUUUUAGAUUUUUCAUUCCUAACCCAACACCUUUUUCCUUCUUUGUUUCCUCACUGGCUAGUGCAAUUUUUUCAGCACUAGAUGUCAGUGUGGACUUGCAAUACCAGACCGCUCUGCAAGUUUUCUUUAACAACAAAGAAAUGCUAUCCAGAAUGAAUCCAAGCCUCUCCAGCCUCAUGAUAUGCUUUCUACAAAACAGGUCUUUUUUUGCUGUUUAAACUCCAUGUGGAAAUUGUAGAACCGCUUUCUGUCCUUGAUUUGGAUUAAUAUGGCUGUAAAAGCACCUUAUCUAAAUUAUGAUCAUACCAUGACUGAGUUAAACAGGAGUUAUCAUGAGUCCAAAGGAAAAGAUUUGUUUAGAAAAUAAUAAAGAAAAAUAAAUGGUUCUGAAUUACCUGUAUAAUUUGUGACCCUGCUAAGAAAGCAUUGCACAAGUGGUCCAUGGGGAUGGUUGAUCCUGCAACUAAGUGUACUCAUCUCAACAAGAACCUACUGACAAGGUUGAGUCUUUGCUUUCCUACUGCCUAGAAAGAUCCUGCAUCAUCUGGAAGUGUUUUGCUACACCAGGCAGUGACAAGAGCUGUUCUAGGGUGCACUUUAUUUACUAUUUGCCUGGCAUUUUCUGAAUAUUGAAAUGAAACCAGCUUGGGGCAGAACAACCAGCCAGGAAGUGUAUGUUGGCUUUCUGAAGUGAUGAAAUGACUGGUUUCUACCACUCUUCAGAAAGCAUUUUGCUUCUUUAAGAAAUUUAAGUCCCUCAUUCUCUAUUUUGCUAUGGGAAGGCUGAGGAACAUGGAUGAACCCUGUCUCCCCUCAUUUUGCAAGCUGCAAUCUAGAACAAGACACAGCUCCUCUUGCUCCUGGAGAAGUACAAACUGGGGAAAGGGAAAGCAGAGAGAGGAGGAAGUGGGUUCACAAUUCUGAUUUCUCAUCUCUUGCGUUCAUGAGUUUUGGCUUCUGUCGAGUGGCUGUGAGCCAACACGACAGAUGGAGCCUUUUACAGCACCCUCAUGCUUGGUUUCCAGCAGGCGUGCUGCACAGAAGCCGGGGCAGAAAACGUUUCUGGCAGAGAGCACAGGGCUCUCUGACACCCUCCUGACCCCGUACUGCUGUAGCUGUGAUCUAGGCCUUCAGAAAAAUCCACUUACAUGCCUUUGUGUUCUUCACUAAGCAUCAGCUAAUGAAGUAUUAUCCUGAUACAUGCGUGAGUGUGCCUAGCUUUUACUGCACUUUGUGGUUGUUGCUGUCCCUUUGACUCCUGCUGCACAAAGUCACUGUGACACAUGUGACUGCCCAAGCAGCUGUGCUUAACAUUCCUAUGUGGUUUUGUUUCUCAUUAUUAGGCUUAUCAGCAGACUGCAAGUAGGGGGGGCAUAGAAUAUCAAUUAAUAAUUAAUGCAAAAUAUUAGCAAAUACUGUGCAAAAAUAAGGACAGAGACAUUUUUCCUCUGGGCUCUGAGAAGUUAAGGAAAUAUUUGGGCACACCUGUCACCUGGUAUGUUCAAGGAAACUGGUCAAGAAUCAAGUUCAUUAUUUUCACGUGCUGAUAGACAAAGUGGUGCAACCAGAACUGAAGUGGAGAGAGACCAGGAAGAAGUGAGGGGAGAAAGCUGGCUCAGAGGCGUGGCAUGCUUUUUUCCUGAAGAUGUAGGUGCUAUUUGAGAGAUGUGCCUUGUUUAGAUUCACACUUGAUAGUGAGAGAGCUGCAAAUAUGUCCUAGAUGCAAAACAAAAAAAAAAAAAAAACAAAAAAAAAAAAAAAAGAAAAAAAAAAAAAAAAAGAAAAUCAAAUUGCACAGGGAGCAGUCAUGCUCUCUGAGAAGGGAACCCAGGCUGUCCUGUUGUGAUUUUUUUUUUUUCUGUGAAAUAUCAUAUGCUGUUAAAUGUAACUUUCUGGCUGUAAGACGGAGUAACUGGAUGUCUUUUUGUAGGGCUUUUUUUUUUCCAUCACACACUUCAUAAUUUAAUUCUAAAUUGAAUAAAAUAUUAUUCACAGUCAAAUAUGAUCUGCAUUUAAUACCUGCUCAAUUCCUAAAUCCACUGUAAAAAAAAAUAUAGAAAGUGCUGUGAUACUGUGUAGCAAUAUACUAUUUUCAAUAUGCUGUUUAUUCUAGCAGCUGAACAGCUCUACUAACACUCAGUAGUGGAAAUUUUAAAAACUCCAUAAAACUCUGAGCAUGCUCCCUGUAACCCUGCUCCAAUAGGGCUCAACAUGCCACAGGCAUUCUGUGAGCAGCAGAAAUUAUGAGUCAUGUUUGCAACAUCCUUUGCCCAAGCAGAUUCCUGGAAUCUAGCAGGAUAGGAAUUCCUACAGUAGCUUUCCUUUCUGUGGGAACAUUAGAAUCUCUGUCUCCUACACAACCACUUAUUUUCUAUGUUCAUGUCUCUGAGAGAUUUGGCUGAAGCUGGACAAGGAUUUAAAAAGUAACCAGUGGUGGCAGAGCAGACAGCAUAUCCACACUGAUUUUCUUCCUGCAGGGAAUUGAACUAGAAAGUGCUCAUGAUUGAUCUACUUUGGAGUAUCUACCACUGCCAGCAGAGACUGCAGCUUAUAAUUCACAAGUGGGGAUGACAUAGCUUGGGACGGCAGAUUAUCGACCCCAGCUGUCUGCCCAGCACCCAGCACACAAAAGACUCUUCAUGAGACAGCUGUGGAAUCACUGCCUCUUGCUGAAACGGGCAAACAGUUUACACCAGCAUUCUCUAAAUGGGGUUCAGAGUAUUCACAGAAUCUCAGCUAUCCAGAAAAGUGGUGUUGGAAGGAAGAGUUAGGGCUAGUACCCUCCUGUGCCACCCCAGCCAUGGCACCUCUUCUUGCAGACCCAGCUGUGAGCUGCAGCAAUGCCAGAAUCUGAUGCCACAUGGAGUUGUAAGAGUCAUGGCAAAAGGAGAGGGAACAGGAGGCCUUUCACAUCUGAGAAGGAGCAUCAAAGAUGCCACAAGUGUAAAUGUAAUGCUCCAUAAUGCUUUGUACUUUAAUUAAAGUUUGGAUCAGUUUUAUGGUAUUAAUUAUAACAUAGCUUGGAUACUGUCCUACUGUGACAUAGGAAGGAAUGUAGCUGGAAUCCCUACUGAGAGACUAUGAUGCAGAGUCCUGAUGCACUGCUUCAUGGUGACCUAGUCUAUUUUAGAGCAGACAAAAACAAGCAGUUUCCUCAGAGGACCGACUGUAGGAAUCACGUUUGUAUAAAUUCAAUGUGUGUGACACUCAGUAUCAAACAAGGCACAAAACACUUGUAUGUCCUUGAAUGUUUUGUUAUGAUACUGUGUAGCAACUGAGCCUGCUAUCCACAGGGGUAUUAUUCACUGGGAUGAAAUUUACAGUUUAGUUAAUCCUCCUGUAAAAGAACGUGACUUUGAGUGAGAGACUAGGGUAUACAGGGAUUUUCCUGUAUCACCUGUGAACCAAAGGUGUCAGAGAUUUUCGUCCUUCUAGUCCUGCUUCUCGAU